rnacentral:rRNA from 1 species
CAAAGAUGAUGAGGUUAAUAGGUUCGAGGUGGAAGCAUGGUGACAUGUGGAGCUGACGAAUACUAAUCGAUCGAAGACUUAAUCAAA